rnacentral:rRNA from 1 species
GAUGAACGCUGGCGGCGUGCCUAACACAUGCAAGUCGAACGAAGCACUGAGAGUUUGAGAUUUCGGUCAAGAACUUUCUUUGACUUAGUGGCGACGGUGAGUAAUGCGUGAGCAACCUGCCUUUCAGAGGGGACGAACAGUUGGAACGACUGCUAAUACCGCAUGAUAUAUUCGGAUCGCAUGGUCUGGAUAUCAAAGAUUUAUCGCUGAAAGAUGGGCUCACGUCUGAUUAGUUAGUUGGUGAGGUAACGGCUCACCAAGACUGCGAUCAGUAGCCGGACUGAGAGGUUGAACGGCCACAUUGGGACUGAGAUACGGCCCAGACUCCUACGGGAGGCAGCAGUGGGGAAUAUUGGGCAAUGGGCGAAAGCCUGACCCAGCAACGCCGCGUGAAGGAAGAAGGUCUUCGGAUUGUAAACUCUUUUAUCAGGGACGAAGGAAGUGACGGUACCUGAUGAAUAAGCCACGGCUAACUACGUGCCAG